CUCAAUUAAACAUUAAUCAUUAUCUGAGUGUUGCUACAAUUUUGUAAUUUCAAGGUACUGUGGGUCUCAGAUCUGCCCACGAGAGGGCACUGGUGACACAGCUUUGCCUCAAAAGGUUUCCAGUUGAAAGACCAGGCAGCUUUGCUUGUGUCUAAGGAACUAAGGGUCCGAUUUCUCAUGAGCUGCUGAACCACAGAUUUUAGAGCUGAAAGACACCCUGCAAGUGAUCUAAUCCAGUCAUCAGAUGUUGCAGUUAUAAGCCAUAGGCGGGUAAAUGUGGACCUGGGAAAAUGCAGACCAACACCUUGCUGGAGUGCAAAGAGCCCCUAGCCAAUUCCUAGGCCUUUGAGAAAACCUGGAAAAAUUAACACUUGAAAUAAAUUUUGAAGAACAAGGAAAAGUUAUUGACCUAAAGGCUGACAGGGAGGAAUUCUGGAAGGAAGGAACAGCUCACUUGCUUGGAGGUUUCUACACCUGUGUGUGCCAUCAUGCUUUGGCCCUGUAUCAGAUACAGGCAUGAGGCUCAUCUCUGUCACCAUUCCCAAAAAAGGAAUAUAAACAUACCAUUUGUGAGUUUAGGAAGCUCACUGCCGAUGUGAAAUCCCAUGAGAAGAGACCACGUGGCCCACUGCCUAGCCUCCUGCCCACCUGGGGCCAGUGUGUUUGUCCCCUCACACAAUGCUGCCUCUUGAAGUUUAUGCAUGCUACCAUUCAGGCUUACUUACCUAUCUGAACUCCCAUUCAUUCGUGGAAGCUGAAGACUAGGAGUCAGAGUUGGAUCAGGUGGCAGGUGUGGUAGGUGGUGGGAAAGGUGGCUCUGUGGUCAACCAACGUGACUGCUGUACAAGCAACUUGUUAGGCUUGUCCAGACCCUUCACCCAUGUGGGUGACUGCCCCCACCCUGCCUUCUACUUUCUUAACCUCCUUGCCUAUAGUAUUUUGUUUUUCCACAUACCUCAUCCAUGCACUCCUGAAAUCACACACUCCUGAAAUCGUGACAUUGUCAUUACCAAUCAUUGCAUCACCUCUGAAACCUCAGCUCCAAACCUCUCACCAUCUGAGCACCAUCCUAUUACCUCCAGCCCAUUCACUCUUCUCGCCUCACUCAGGCGAUUUGACAUUUUUGAGUCCUUGAUAUCUUGAAACUUGUGUUCUCUCACCAUCAAUAGCCCUAUGUACUUCAGCCACUCCAACCUCAUUUUUCUCUACCCUGCCCUGCUUACUUUGUUCCAGCCAUGCUGGCCUCUCUCCUAUCCUGGGAGGCAUCCAGCUUGUCCCAUUUUAUGGCCUUCAUACUUGAUGUCUCCUCUGCCCAGAAUGUUCUCCUUGCAUUGUUUUGGUCUUGGUUAAAAACACUUUUAAACAUCUAGUUAAUAAUUAAUCCAUACAUUAAUUAAUGAAUUAUUGA
rnacentral:lncRNA from 10 species